UACGUAGGGACCAAGCGUUGUUCGGAUUUACUGGGCGUAAAGGGCGCGUAGGCGGCAAUUCAAGUCAUCUGUGAAAUCUCCGAGCUUAACUCGGAACGGUCAGAUGAUACUGCUUUGCUAGAGUGCAGAAGGGGCAACCGGGAAUUCUUGGUGUAGCGGUGAAAUGCGUAGAUAUCAAGAGGAACACCGGAGGUGAAGACGGGUUGCUGGGCUGACACUGACGCUGAGGCGCGAAAGCUAGGGGUAGCAAACGGG
rnacentral:rRNA from 1 species